UCCCUGUUACCGGGGCAGUCUGAUUAGAAAAAUUCAACUAAUCACAAGGGUUGCGCUCGUUAAUGGACUUAACCAAACAUCUCACGACACGAGCUGACGACGGCCAUGCAACACCUGUCACUUGAUUCAAUAAAGCACUCUCUCCUUUCGGAGAAAUUCCAAGGAUGUCAAGUCCUGGUAAGGUUCUUCGUUUACCAUCGAAUUAAAGAACACGCUCCACCGCUUGUGCGGCUCCCCGUCAAUUCCUUUAUGUUUUAGUCUUGCGACCGUACUCCACAGGCGGGAUACUUAACGCGUUAGCUUCGCUACUGAAGGGGUCGAUACCUCCAACAGCUAGUAUCCAUAGUUUACGGCGUGGACUAC
rnacentral:misc_RNA from 1 species